AAAAGCAAAGUACUAUUCUGUACAUUUUAGUUACAUUAAAAAAGUCUUUUUUAAAGUGCUUUUA
rnacentral:tRNA from 1 species